UGCUGUGAAACCCUAAUUAUUAAACUCAGUUAUGAUAAAUGACUGAGUAGUAUAUGAAGUUUACUGUGUAUAUGAAGUUACUGUGUACACGAAUGUCGGUAAUUAGAAGAAAAACCCUAAUUACUAUUUUUACGCUGAUAACUAGGACAAACCCUAAUUAUUACAACCCUAAUCGGUUGAAGUUAGAGACCGUAAUGACUGUGUUAGAUCAUACACAGAUAAUUAGAGAACCCUAAUGGUCAAUUAGAAAACCCUAAUUGAUAACGUUAAGAAACCCUAAUUAGAAAACCCUAAUUUUCUAUAGAAAACCCUAAUUUAAAAUUAUCGGGUUUAAUUACGAUGUUAUUAUAUAAAUGUUUUAAUUUACCAAAUGAUAGAAAUUAAUUGGUAAAUGGUAAGAAUUAUAAUCUAAUGGUUAAAUAUUACAUUUAAUGGCCUUUUACAAAAAUGCCCUUGGAAUUAUAUGUGAAAUGACCAAAAUACCCUUUUUGUCAUUUUAGUGUAUUAUUACUUACAUUGUUGAUAGGAUCUUGCAACAAGGAUGCCCAACAUACUUACCCUACAUGCUAUCAGCUCUCAAACAAGGGAAUCAUCCCACUUUAGCAUCCAAGGUAUUUAAAAUUUUUUUUUUUAAAUUAAAGGAUAGGGAAAAUGCAUUAUUUAUGUCUUAUUGCUACCACUUGUCCACAAAAUCCGGCCAAUCCAUCUAGAAAUUACCUAUGGGCUGUAGUAUUACCAUCAAUCAGCCACUAGAAUCAAUUCAUGCAUUAAUUUAUGGAUUCAAGAGAGAGAAAUGCAACAUUUUGGCCUAUUUAUACCCAAGCACUUAGCUUCAUUCUCCCAAUGCUUAAACCUACGAAAUUCUCUCAUUAUAUCAGUCUAUAAACAAG
rnacentral:lncRNA from 1 species